rnacentral:tRNA from 1 species
AAACUUUUAGUAUAUGUAGUAUUUUUAAUUGCAAAUUAAAAGGUUAAAAGUUUU